UGGUGGAAUCCAUACAAAAGAGGGGAGCUAGAUUUAUUACCAAAGACUACAUACAUGACAUACAAAUCAAGGGAUGAAGGAUGUAAUCAUGUAUAACAAAAAUGCUUCAGCUUCCGUCACUACAAUCAAGAUGUUAACAUUAACGGCUGAUUUUCUUUUUCAAAGUGGUUGAGGGGAAAAUGCCUCUGGACAUGCUGGACGACCAAAUUUAAAUUUCAUAGACCUAGACGACAAAUCGAAGCUACAACCAUCAUGACCAUGACAACAUAUAAUAACUUCGUUUAUAGGAACAUUAUAGAAUAACAACCCGUAACAACAAACGAGCAGUCAUCAUGGUCAUUGUUCGAAAUAGUAAGACUGACCAGUUCAAAAACUCUUAUCUUUGUGUGCACUGCAGUACAUUGGAACCAUCUGGAGGACUCGGUAGUGAGCCUCACUCCAACCUAUGAGUUAAAAUCAGUACUCCUCAUACAGGCUCUUGUCUUGGACCAAGUUAUGUUGUUUAUUUGAAAAGGCAAAUCAUGCUCUUGGUUCAAAAACUGGUA
rnacentral:lncRNA from 1 species